GUCCUCGUAGCUUAAUAACAAAGCAUGGCACUGAAGAUGCCAAGAUGGUCACCACACAUACCCGAGGACA
rnacentral:tRNA from 1 species